UGUUUUGAUUUAGUAUUAAGCAACUUAAGCACUGUGAAAGGAACAGGCUUAUCCACAUUUAAGAUAUCCUUGAUAAUAUCCUGACAAUUAUGUUCUCUAGCAUUGAUUUAAUUAAUAGUUUGGUUCAGCUUGUCGAUAGUAUGGGUGAGCUUGUUUAGAACAUCUUAAUGAGAACUAUUAGCCUCAAAUGACCUAGAUUCCUCUUCAGCUUCCAUUCUAUUUCUUUUUCUAGUUAUUAGAGGAACUUCUAAAUUCAUGGGUUGCAAGGCAAAGUCACCUAGAGAUUCUAUUUCUUUUUCUAGUUGCUAGAGGAACUUCUAAAUUCAUGGGUUGCAAGGCAAAGUCACCUAGAGAUGGAGAUUGAGGCUGGUGAAGUGGAGUGACAAAGAGAAGAUAUAGUACUAACACAACAAGUGCAAGUGCGACUAGUGGCUCCAUCAGCGGCACAUGAACAUCCAUGGGUCAUUGCUCUUGCUCCAAAGUUUCGGUUAAAAUAAUCACCACAAUCUGUUGCUCCAUUCGGACCACAUCUCCCUGCUAUUGUUACGCUGUACUUGCAAAAUUGUUGCCCUGCAAAAAAUAAACCAAAUAAGUAUGUAAUACUUUUGAGAAUUAUGGGAUUUCUAA